rnacentral:snRNA from 1 species
AGCUUUGCGCAGUGGCAGUAUCGUAGCCAAUGAAGUUUAUCCGAGGCGCGAUUAUUGCUAAUUGAAACAAAGUACCACAAACUGGAUGGCUUUAAACAAUAGAAAUUGAUUGAUUCACACUUAGAGAGGCUAGAAAUCCAG